GGUUGAGGGAGUGCACAGUGUCAGUCUGUGUUAUGUGUUGUUGCUGGACUGUGUUUUACAGGCUGUGUAACAGCGCUCACUCCAAGCCUGUAGCCACAGAGCAGCUGGAGAUCAUAGUACUGGCUCUUGAUGUCUUUAUUGACUUCUCUCCAUUGGUCAGCCUCCAAACUCUCCUACAUGA